CCUACCCCUAGAGGCUUUGCAGAUGUGACUGCUGUGUCACAUGUGCAUCAGUAGGUGCCAGAGGGAUGAAAGAUUAUGCCUAUGUUCAAUGUUUUGAUCUUAUGAACAUCUGAAUAAUCAGUGUAUUCCAAG